rnacentral:misc_RNA from 1 species
GAUCAGUUCCAGAAUUUUUGGACGCUAAUAAUCAUAGACGUUUAGCUUCUUUACCAAAGGAUAAUGAUAGGAUUCUUGGAGAAAAAGAUUUAGGCCUGUCAUUGAGGCUGCAAAUUGAUCACUCAGAUCAUCAUCAAGAAAGAGAGGAAGAUUAUAAAGAAGAAAUCAACAAGGAAGAAAAUGGAAACCAUGCGUCGGUGCCCAAUAAUAAUAAGCUUCAAA